CCGACGCGGGGCUCGAACUCAUAAGCCGUGAGAUCAUGACCUGAGCCGAAGUCGGACACUUAACCAACUGAGCCACCCAGGUACCCCCCUAUCACUUUCGAAGUAUAUGACCUUGCAUGAGUGACUUAGCCUCUAAGCCUCAGCUUCCUCACCUGCAAGAAGAGAGAAGGUGCUGUAAGAUGUUGAAAGGGAAGAGCCAGGGCUUUUCGCAGCCGGGGGCAGCCAAGGAGGGCUUCCUGGAGAAGGUGUGGAUGCUAGCAAGUGGGCACGAGGUAGGGAGGCAGACAGGAGAGAGAGAAGGCCGCGAACAGAGGCCAGGGUAGAAGAGUUGAGGAAGACCACAUAGAGAGAAAACAGAGAAUAUGUGGAGUGUGGGAGAAAUCGUGUACGAGGUAAUACAAAGAAGGUUUUUAUUAUAAACCCUUUUCCUACUUGUUUUAUGAGCUCCUCGAUGUCAAAGAGUGUCAGAUGAAUGAAGCUGAGGUUAGCAACAUGUAAUGGCUAAUUGUGGCUACCAUAGAAAGCUAGCACCAGCCUGUUGGGACUCUACAGAUAAUGUCACAUCACUGAAAGUUCUGGAGCCGGGAAUGACAUAAUAAGAGCUGUGGUUGGGAUCUGUGCAGUGGAUUAGAAGCCAGAGGUCCCUGCCCUGAUUCCCAGUAGAUGGAGAGCUUCUGAAGCUGUGCUGCCCUCCACCAUAGCCACCAACCACAUGUGGCUGAUUAAACUUGAAUUCAAUUGGAAUUAAUAAAAUGGCAGAUCUCAGUACGUCAGUCACCCUCCCCACGCUUCAAGUGUUCAGAAGGUGCCUACGGCUGCUGGCCUCCCUCGUGCGGGUAGAGAGCACGUCCGUUCUCUGGCAGGGACACUCUGAGUACCUAGCGUAGAGUCAGGCGUGCAGUGGGGCCCCAGUGGAUGUUGUGUGGCUCGGCGGGGACGCAGGGGGCCAGAACUGCAGUGGUAACUGAGGAGCUGGGGAAGAAGGGACCUCCGGAAGGGUUGGGACCCAGCAACCCAUGAACGUGGGACAGGACUGCGUACCGAAAAGAAAGGGCAAAGGACCUGGGACAGUUGAGAUAAUCUGUCCUUGGAAUUUUUGCGUUGUUUCAAAAACAUUUCCUCCGGGUGCCUGUUAUUUCUGGCUGGCUUGGUUGUCUUUGCUGCCACUGCAUUUCCAGCACAAUGCAGCCUUUGUAUCUUCUGCCCUCCUAAGGGGGCUUAGGUCCCGGUAUCCCAGAUGUACAGGGGAAGAUAGCACCAGCUCGAGCUUCCACGGGCGGGGCCUGAGGGCUCUCGGGGGGCCGUGAGGGACCCAUCCUGAGGUCUGUAGAGCCAACUCCAGGCGCAUCAUUUGCAGUCUUUCUUACACUGGAGAAGGGGAGGGGUCGCGGGGGGAAAUAAUCCUGCUUUUGCGAACUUGCUGGUGUAUUGCUGGCAGGAGCCGCUCGCUCCUACCCGUUGACAUGAAGGAGAGCUGUGUAGCUGGCCUCAGAGAAUGUCUCUUGCUGUCUGAAAUGCUUUCGGACAUUCCUUCUCUCUGAGAAAAGCCCACGCCUUCCAGCCAAACAAUACAGGCCUCGGCAGCAGAGACGUUUGUCCUGGGCCCUGCCAGCAUCUCUUGCCCAUGACCCCAUUCCCUCAGUAGACCGCCCCCGAGCUGGAAUUUCCCUGUCCUCAGCAUUCUGUGGAGGAGAGCAGUUUCGGAGCUCUCGCGGGCACGUGUGGCAGGUGAGCCACUGAAGAAUGCUGUUUGGGGCCGAGGCCCUGCCAAGCUGCGCUGCGGAGCGCAAAGGGAAAACAACAAGGCCUCGGCACAACUUCGGGGUGACCUUCAAACAUGAGUUCAAAAUGGGGGAAGAGCGGAUAGUAAGUUUUCCAUCCUUCCGUCUUCAUACACUUGGCUUUGCCGGGAAGAGGAUCUGUGUCCGUCCAGCUUUGCCCACCGCUUCCGGCGCCGCAGGUCGGGCACCCCUGCCCUCUGAGGCAGGUGUCCUGCGGGGAGGGUGCCGAACUUGGAGCCUCUUGGCUGAGUUCUGCCCCUUCUUCGACCUGUGGCCACAGACAAGUCAUUCCUCUUCUCUGUCUUGAUUCUUCCAUCAGAAGAUUUAAAUUUUAAGGUUAAGUGAAAAAAUGGAGGGGCAAGGGUUUCUUGCCAGUUAGGUAACCUUCUGUGUUCUCGCCUGGAAGAGGAGUGUAAGAAUGCCUGCCUGGUCUCCCUCGAAGAGUUUCAUGAAGGUCAAGUGACUGACAUUAGUCAGAGUGCUUUGUCCACAGCACAGCUGAUCACAGGGCUGAUCUGUCUUUUCUGUUAAUUGUUAUUUCAUCUCGUGACUCAGGGCCGCCUUUCUGAAAACUGUAGAGCGCCAUUCAGGUCGAAGGUAUCAUUUAUUUAUUUAAAAUAGCACACAUUGAGUGCCAUGGGCUUACCCAUAAGCAUUCAGGUACCGAGAACUCAUUGACAGGUUGACGGCUCAACUUUAGGCCCAACGUUUGGUUCUUAACUUCGCAAUUUCUGAAGCUUGAAUUUAUUAGUAUGCUCGGGGAUGGUCAAGUUCUGCGAAACCAACUUAUGCAAACCAAAGUUACAAGGAACUGACCUAUAAACCAGAAUAGACAUUUAUGAAUUCACAGGAGGGCCUUUUACAACAGAGACCAAAUCUUCCUCCGUUCGUUAUGGAGCAUGUAUAACGUGAUCUUCCUACUCUCCUGCUGCCUGCUCCUCUUUUCCGUGUUUACCGAUUCUACGAGGCCCAACCAGGUCUCAUUUCCUCCAGGGAGAUGUCCUUGAACCCCCCAGGCUGGGCUGGGGGUCCCUCCUGCCAUGUACAUCCAUGUGUGCAUAUGUGUAUGCACACACAGGACCCUAUACAUCCCUCUACUGUGGAACCCGC